GGGAGACACAAAAAUAAGAGCAAUACUAAUAAAAAUAGGAGAUAAGAAAUAAGAAGCAACCAUCACCCGUAGUCGCCAACACUAGCGGUUCCCACCAAAGAACACAGUCCUAAGAUUACUAACCCGACUACACCAGAGCCCCCAAACUACUCAUUACCACCCACACAUGCACUAAUCUUCUACACUUAUCCGCGAUCUCCACACCUUCCUAUCUAGAGUCAUGUCCUCAGUAAGCUGAAGUAGCCCAUGUCAUGUCUAAUCACUUCUCUCCAGUAUUUCUUCGGCCUACCUCGUCCUCUCCUGAAACCAUC
rnacentral:lncRNA from 1 species